rnacentral:rRNA from 1 species
AGUGAACGCUGGCGGUAGGCCUAACACAUGCAAGUCGAACGGAAGCACAGUAAGAGCUUGCUCUUACGGGUGGCGAGUGGCGGACGGGUGAGGAAUACAUCGGAAUCUACUUUUUCGUGGGGGAUAACGUAGGGAAACUUACGCUAAUACCGCAUACGAUCUACGGGUGAAAGCAGGGGAUAUUCGGACCUUGCGCGAUUGAAUGAGCCGAUGUCGGAUUAGCUAGUUGGCGGGGUAAAGGCCCACCAAGGCGACGAUCCGUAGCUGGUCUGAGAGGAUGAUCAGCCACACUGGAACUGAGACACGGUCCAGACUCCUACGGGAGGCAGCAGUGGGGAAUAUUGGACAAUGGGCGCAAGCCUGAUCCAGCCAUACCGCGUGAGUGAAGAAGGCCUUCGGGUUGUAAAGCCCUUUUGUUGGGAAAGAAAAGCAGCAGGUUAAUACCCCGCUGUUCUGACGGUACCCAAAGAAUAAGCACCGGCUAACUUCGUG